rnacentral:rRNA from 1 species
CCCUUAGAUGUUCUGGGCUGCACGCGCGCUACACUGAAGCUAUCAACACGUUUUCCCUCCCUGAGAAGGGCGGGUAACCUUUUGAAUCAGCUUCGUGGUAGGGAUCGGGGCUUGCAAUUGUUCCCCGUGAACCAGGAAUUCCUAGUAGACGCGAGUCAUAAGCUCGCAUCGAUUAAGUCCCUGCCCUUUGUACACACCGCCCGUCGCUACUACCGAUUGAAAGUUUUAGUGAGGCAUUUGGACCGACGCAUCUCAGUUUAACCGCUGGUUUGUGUUGGAAAGACUUCCAAACUUGAGCGUUUAGAGGAAGUAAAAGUCGUAACA